rnacentral:rRNA from 2 species
CGGAGGAAAGAAACCAACAGGGAUUGCCCUAGUAACGGCGAGUGAAGCGGCAACAGCUCAAAUUUGAAAUCUGGCCCUUGGGUCCGAAUUGUAAUUUGUAGAGGAUGAUUUUGGUGCGGUACCUUCCGAGUUCCUUGGAACAGGACGCCUUAGAGGGUGAGAGCCCCGUACGGUUGGAUACCUAGCCUCUGUAAAUCUCCUUCGACGAGUCGAGUAGUUUGGGAAUGCUGCUCUAAAUGGGAGGUAAAUUUCUUCUAAAGCUAAAUACUGGCCAGAGACCGAUAGCGCACAAGUAGAGUGAUCGAAAGAUGAAAAGCACUUUGAAAAGAGGGUUAAAUAGCACGUGAAAUUGUUGAAAGGGAAGGAUUUAUGACCAGACUUUUUCUGGGCAGAUCAUCCGGUGUUCUCACCGGUGCACUUUGCCCAGUUUAGGCCAGCAUCGAUUUCCGGAGGGGGAUAAAAGCUUUAGGAAUGUGGCUCCCUCGGGAGUGUUAUAGCCUAUUGUAUAAUACCUUUCUGGGGAUCGAGGUACGCGCUUCUGCAAGGAUGCUGGCGUAAUGGUUAUCAAUCACCCGUCUUGAAACACGGACCAAGGAGUCGAACAUUUGUGCGAGUGUUUGGGUGUUAAACCCUCACGCGUAAUGAAAGUGAACGGAGGUAAGAGCCCUUACGGGUGCAUUAUCGACCGAUCCUGAAGUUUUCGGAUGGAUUUGAGUAGGAGCAUAAAUGUUCGGACCCGAAAGAUGGUGAACUAUGCGUGGAUAGGGUGAAGCCAGAGGAAACUCUGGUGGAGGCUCGCAGCGGUUCUGACGUGCAAAUCGAUCGUCAAAUCUGCGCAUGGGGGCGAAAGACUAAUCGAACCAUCUA